GCGCCCGUAGCUCAGUCGGUAGAGCGGUCGUUGAUCCACAGUCCCGGUUCAAGUCCCGGCGGUCGCU